rnacentral:rRNA from 1 species
GAUGAACGCUAGCUACAGGCUUAACACAUGCAAGUCGCGGGGCAGCAUGUCGGUUGCUUGCAACCGAUGAUGGCGACCGGCGCACGGGUGAGUAACGCGUAUCCAACCUGCCCUUCACCACGGAAUAAUCCAGUGAAAAUUGGUCUAAUACCGUAUGAGGUCAUACGAUGGCAUCAGAAUAUGACGAAAGGUUUAGCGGUGAAGGAUGGGGAUGCGUCUGAUUAGCUUGUUGGUGAGGUAACGGCUCACCAAGGCGACGAUCAGUAGGGGUUCUGAGAGGAAGGUCCCCCACAUUGGAACUGAGACACGGUCCAAACUCCUACGGGAGGCAGCAGUGAGGAAUAUUGGUCAAUGGGCGAGAGCCUGAACCAGCCAAGUAGCGUGCAGGACGACGGCCCUAUGGGUUGAAACUGCUUUUAUAAGGGAUAAAGUGAUGCCUGCGGCGUUAUUGCAUGUACCGUACGAA